rnacentral:ncRNA from 1 species
GCGUAUCCGUUGAUACAAAAGAGCUAAGAGGGAAGCAGGUCAGAAUCCUGCGCGGUCCCGCCACUGUAAUUGGAGAGUUGCAUUCAAAGGCACAGGCCAUCCACUGGGAAACCGGGAAGGAGAUUUGCGAUGACGACCCAUAAGUCAGGAGACCUGCAUAGAA